UUUUUUUUUUUUUUUGAGACAGAGUCUCGCUUUAUCUUCCAGGCUGCAGUGCAAUGGAUGGCACGAUCUUGGCUCACUGCAACUGCCACCUCCCAGGCUCAACCAAUUCUCCUGCCUCAGCCUCCCAGGUAGCUGGGAUUACAGGUGCCUACCAUCAAGCCUGGCUAAUUUUUUGUAUUUUUAGUGGACAGGGUUUCAGCUAAUUUUUUGUAUUUUUAAUAGAGACAUGGUUUCACCACAUUGGCCAGGCUGGUCUCAAACCCUGGACCUCAAGUAAUCUGCCUGCCUUGGCCUCCCAAAGGGCUGGGAUUACAGGCAUGAGCCACAGCACCCGGCCAUUUUCUCCUUAUUUUCUUAAUGAAUCCAAUUAUGCUAUUUUUUUCCCCUGAACACACUUUCUUCUUAUGCCUUUGAAAUACACACAGACAAGUAUAUCACAAGAAAAAGUACAGAUGUAUCUGUUAAUGACUUUUUAUUCCCCUGAUUAUAAUAACUUUUGCUUAGGUUACACACACACAUAUGUGGAUAUAUGUGCAGAUAUAUAUAUCUAUACACACACACAUAUGUGUAUCAGUCAUUUUAAUCAGGGAGAAAAAAGAUCAUCAACAGAAAACAUCUAAAGAAAGGAAAUAGCUGAAUCCAAUCUUUUCCACAAAUAAUACAGCAGAUAUGAGAUGAUAGUGGAAGGGAAAAGGGUGUGUAAUUAGAGGACCUGAGUUUGAGGCCAACCUCUGCUUCCUCUGAUGUGUGAGGUGUUGAACAAAUCACUGUCCCAUUUUGAGUCUCAAAUGUUGUACCAGCUAAGUGAAAACUAUAAUACCUGCCUUGCUCGUUUCCGUUAUUGUCGUGAGAAGUAAAUUAGAUAAGGUGCCCUUUAAAUGUUAAACAGGUGAGAAAAAAAUAUAAAUAUUGAAAGUGACAUCUCUUUUCUUUAUGAACAAAAUUAACUUGCAAACUAAAAUUGUAUGUAUGUGUGUUUAAAUUUCAAAGCUUUAGAAAUUAGAAGUGUAAUAUCCUUUCUUGAAAAGAAAGAACUUUGCCCAUUUGAUUUUAUUUUGGGUGCUUUGCCAUGAAAACAAAUGUAGAAAUUCCUCCUCAGAGCAACUCUCAGAGAACAGGAAGGAGCCCAAAUCCAUGAGCCAGGAUCGGGGUCCCAUGCUGUGUUCCACAGAGCACUGCCUGAAUGCGGCUGCUUUGCUCUUUGAUCCAAGUGCCUCCUUAGAAGGUUAACAAACAGAGUGGUCCUUGGUUAGACCCUUCCACGAGAUUUGUGUAACUUUUGCUUUCUUUAUUUUGUUCGUUCUCUUUUGCACUUUUUUUUAAAGUUCCACAUGAUUUUUUCCUGCUUACAAGUAGAAUGGGUGGUGA
rnacentral:lncRNA from 1 species